rnacentral:tRNA from 1 species
GAAGCGGUAGCUCAGCGGAAGAGCGCCCACAGAUUGGGAGGCUGGCAAUGCGUUGGAGUCGCGACCUGACGUAUCCAGACGGCGGCAGCCGGCGCGAGUUCGAAUCUCGCCCGCUUCU